UGAGAGUAGUACAUCGAUGGGUGACCCCUUGGGGGGUGCGAUCAUACCAGCACUAAAGCACCGGAUCCCGUCAGAAUCCA
rnacentral:rRNA from 1 species